UUAAAAUAGGCCUGUAUGUGAAGUCUGUACAUGGUGGAGACCUGGAUAGUGUAAAGUUUAAGCUCACAGGCUCUAGAUUGGAUUCACUUGGGUUCAAAUGCCAUCACAGGCUGUAGAUUGGGUUUAUGUAGGUUCAAAUCUCAGCUCAUAACUGAGCUCACUGUCAGUCUUUGGGCAAGGUUUCCUCAUCUCUAAAAAGGCAGUCAUGAUAGGACCCGGAUUGAAACAAGAUGGUGGGCUCAUGGUGAGGAGCUGUCAAGGAAUGAAAAUUGGUGUGCCUAGAAGCAGAUUUUAAAAGCAGUUCUUCUUUAAAACAUCUUUUUUCAUACUACCUGAUAAGCAUCUUGAACACCAUGGCCACAGCAGCAGUAAAAUGGAUGAUAUCAAAGAGACCCAUCUUGAAACAUUUAUUUCCAAUCCAAAAUGGAGCUUUAUCUUGUGUUUGUCAUAAAUCUACAUAUUCUUCUCUACCAGAUGACUAUAAUUGCAAAGUUGAGCUUGCUUUGACAUCCGAUGGCAGGACGAUAGAAUGCUACCACCCUUCGGUGGACAUUCCAUAUGAACACACAAAACCUAUCCCUCGACCAGAUCCUGUGCAUAAAUAAUAAUGAAGAAACACAUAAUCACAUGCUGAAAACCAGAUUAGCAGAAAAAAGUGAAAACCUUGAGCAAGGACCCAUGAUAGAACAACUUAGCAAAAUGUUCUUUACUACUAAGCACCGUUGGUAUCCUCGUGGACAGUAUCACACUUGUCAUAAGAAACUGAACCCUCCAAAGGACAGAUAAUAUUGAGGUUCUUCAGGGAAUCAGAGAGAAAUGUCCCUCAUUUGCCAUUUGGGGAAAUGUAAUCU